CCACAGCCACAGAGAAAACCCCAACCUAAAUAAAGAGUUCAAAGAGGUAGAAAAGAUAAGAAAAAACCCUAGUUAUGAAUCGAUUUGAAGAAGUAGGAGGGAAUACUAAUGAAGAAACAACAGCUGAGAGCACAAGGAAAGGUGGACGAGAGGUUGAUGAACCAAAAUUAUUGAGUCCAUACCGCGGUUCCUCUCUCUAUGAUUCCAAAACUCGUUCCAUGAGUGAGACUCGUAGUGGGUUUUCGAAAUGAAGCCGCGGAACCUAUAUCAUGGCCCUGGAUUUAGGUAACUGUAUUGGUUUUGGUGCCGACACUAAGUGGCAUGUCUGCUCGAAGCAAUUACAAACUUAAAGACAUGGUUGUCUUAGAUCCCCAG